UACGGGGGGGGCAAGCGUUGUUCGGAAUUACUGGGCGUAAAGGGCUCGUAGGCGGCCAACUAAGUCAGACGUGAAAUCCCUCGGCUUAACCGGGGAACUGCGUCUGAUACUGGAUGGCUUGAGGUUGGGAGAGGGAUGCGGAAUUCCAGGUGUAGCGGUGAAAUGCGUUGAGAUCGGAAGGAACGCCCGUGGCGAAAGCGAGGCCCUGGACCCUUACUGACGCUGAGACGCGAAAGCCAGGGGAGCGAACGGG
rnacentral:rRNA from 1 species